UUUUUUUUCAUGUCUCCUGCUGAACCCGAACCAACUGUCCGAUAUUUAGAAGCAAAAAUAAUUACGUCAGAACAUAUGCCACUAUCCUAUUGUUGUUGUUUUUAUUAUUAUCAUUAAGGGGUCACUGCACUGAAUUGAUGACUUGGGGGCGUAUUCUGCGAAAGUGGCUCAACCAACCCAGGCUUUGUGCUCAAGAUGCAGCUCGACAAAAGUUAAGUUCCCCAAACAGAAUUAAACGGUACUGCAACGGUGGUUAGCAACUUUGUUAAGUCUGGUUCUCGAGUUUGUGUUCAGUGCUUGUUCACAUAAAAGGGGGCGUUUGAUGUCAUAUUCUUCUUUCGCUCAAAAGCAAUGCGAUCCCAGCGAGUGUAUUUUACACAAUAAGAGCAAGUCCUUAUAAUGGAGCGUUAUUCCAAAAGAACACUGUUGCUGCCAAUAGAGCGAGGGAGGACCGCUGGCCAAAUAAUGCUGAGCAUGUAAUGCGUAAGUUAACACAGAUUUAUUAUACGAACUAUACCCUACUAAUCUUCAUUGAUAAACAUUGUGUAACACUUAUUUAUUACACUAACUGUACGCUACUAGUUUUUUCUAUCAACUUUGACAUUUUAACCCCUAGCCAUAAAAAAAAAAUUGGAGCAACAACUGUCUUUUUUUCAUCUUUGAAACGUCUUAUUUUACGGCGGGAUGCUGUACCUCUUGAUGACCACUAGGUGGCAGUGUUGACGUGUUUUUUGGGCGAUUUCUUUUUGACAAGGGUUUCCUUUUGUUUUUUUCUUGACGGGGAAGGACGUGUAUGGCAGGAGCUCUGUUGAUGAAAGUGGAAAUUUUAACUAUUUUGGUGCUUUCCUGACGACACUUCAUGAACACAAGAUCAGUGCUGCUUGCUGAAUCCCCCAACUUUAACUUGGAUAGUCGAGAGGUACAGAUACAAGUAUCGAUACUGCUAGCAAGUCUAGCUAACUAGCUAACUGCUGAAGUUCAAAGAGGUUGCUUAGCAACAAUGUCAAACACAAAGGAAAAUUAUUCUGGCUCUGAACUUGCAGAGGAAAAUGAUUCUGGCUCUGAAUUCAAAGUGGACAUGGAAAUAAAAACAUUGGCAGAAUACCUAGUUAGUCCAAGAUACCAAGAGUUGCAAAAUGCUUUCAAGAGCUGCAAAGAAACCUUUGAUAGAAGCUUCGAGAGUAGCAAGAUCACUCUACCACAAAUAAUGCGAGCAAUUGAGAAGCUGCAUUCAACUGUAGAGAUACAGUCUGAAGAAAAUAGAGCACUGAACAAGUAUAUCAAAAAACUAAGAAAAGAAGUCAAGAAGUUGCAAGAUGAAACUGCAGACCUGAGCGCUGCUCUUAAGGAGGUUAAAUACCCUUUGGAAGAUACCAAGGCUCGGCAGGACGACAUUAAGGUACUGCUGAAUGACAAUGCUGCCUUGCGCUCUGCUCUUCAGGAAGCGAUAAACCGUAAAGAAAAUACAGCAUUUUGCAAGGAUGCUAGGGUUCUGCAGGAUGAUAUCAGGGCAUUAUUGGAAGAUAACGCUGCCUUGCGCACUGCUCUCAAGGAGGCUAUAAACCAUAUGGAAGCCGCCUCACGUACUGAUCUUAAGGAUGCUAAAGACCCCAGGGAAGAAAAUAGAGCACUAUGCAAUGCUAUCAACAUUCUACAGGAUGAUAUCAAGGUACUAUUGAAGGACAAUGCUGACUUUCGCACCACCCUUGAGGAAGAGAAAGAAGCAAAGGAGAAUAUCAAGGAGGAAAUUAAAAACUUCAUUGACGAGAUGGAUCAGAUGGCACGAAUGAACGAUGUAGUCCUCACAGGGCUCCAAAUCACACCCAAGUCAAGAGAUGUUCCUUCAAUAAAGCAACAGAUUGCUAACUUUCUACACUCGAAGGAGGUGGAUGUCGAUGUCAACAGUAUUGACACUUGCGUCCCACUCCAUGGCAGAAACAACACCACACCUGUCAUCAUUAAGUUCACCAACAGGGAAUCCAAAACUGCACUGCUGAAACAGGGAAAGAAGCUAAGAGGCACCAACGUCUACAUGAAUGAGCAUCUGACAAAAUGCAAUUCUGACAUCGCCAAAAAAGCACGAGACCUGAGGAAGCAAGGAAAGAUUCAAAACACUUGGAGCACUAACAGGAAAAUCUACAUCAAACUAAAAGGAGGUCCAGGAGUUGCAAGAGUGCUUGUUGUCCAAGAUAUCAGCGAUCUGGGAACAUAUUAAAGAUCAUAUUACUAUGACAAUAAGCAUAAUUGCAAUAACCUUGACAUAGUUAAUAAAAGGAACUCUUGUAUACAAACUCAGUGUCACUAGCAGUGCAAAACCAAAGAUGAUGUGGAUAUCAACAGGAGAGGAAGGACAGGAUAAACAGAUAGGGAAAACGAAAGGAAAAGGAGAUUUUUUUUUUUUUUUUAGCAUUUGUGUACCUGUAUACUGUAUAUGUGUAUACUGUAUAUGUAUAUAUGUGCGUACUUGUGUAGGUGCAGAUGUAAGUGUAUAUAUAUGUGUAUGUGUGUGUGUGUAUGUGUAUGUAGACACAUGUAUGUAUUAGCAAUUGAUGUGCUACAAAAAGGGGAUAGGAUUAAAUAAGCUCUGCUUCUUCCUACUUCUUUUCAGACAUAUGCAUGUUCGAAAUAAAAAUUAAACCAAUCAAUAAAUGCUUUGUUGCAGUUGAUUGAUGCCCCAGAGCGCUUAUUCCGUCAGCAAAUAUUGUAAUAUAAGGAAGGCUAACGGGAUGAGUACUAACGCAAGGACUGCUGUGACAUCUACAAACAUUGGCCUAAUUAUUAUUUCAUUUUAUGCCUGGUGCUGAUCGGCUCAAAAGCUAAUUUAGCAUAUUCCUUCGUCUUAAAAUAUAUGUCUCUUAUAGAGAAUUUAAUCAGGGAAUGUUAUAUAUGGCUAUAUAGUCACUCGAUCCCGUCGUAGUGCUGGCCGAAUUAUUCUUGUUCCCAAUUAAGUCCACCCGGUUCUCAAAUGGUGACGCCAUCUCCGAAUAUGCGCUUUCAUAGCCGAUUUAAGCUCAAAAUCUGGACUUUGACUUUAGUCUAAGUUAAUGUACCCACUUUAAAAGAGAGCUACCUUCGCUGAACAGCAAGCCCGGAUUUCCGUCAACACACCUCGCUAACCCACUAAACUCGCUUCGCAGAAUUAUACCUCCUAAAUUAACAAAUAGGAUACAAAUUACGUAGCUGUGCCUCAUGCACGUAUGCGCGUACACGUGACGACGCGUGUGGAUACGCCGUGCGAAUAAAAGCAGUGAACAUAAGGACAAAUCUUUUAUGUUUGCUUUGGUUGUUAUUUGUGUGCUGUGUAUGAGAAACAAUUAAAGUCAACGAUCGUUCAACAAUCUGCUGUAGCGCCAUGAAGCAAGCAACGCAAACAUUCAUUUGAGCCCCCUCCAAAAAUUUCAGUCUUUUACAAGCAUAUCAAUUUGAUGUUUUUACAAACCUUUUACUUUGAGUCCAUGCUGACAAGACUGAGCCGCUGAAGGCGUUUCCAAGGCAACGGGAAGCCAACACAGUCAUCAGAACGAAAUAAUUUCUCUCCGCCCAAAAUGAACUCCAAGUAAGAAAUAUGUCUUUAAUUUAGCGCAUGAGUUGUUAUGGGUGAAAUUAUGCUCAUUUCACAUUUCAGAGACACAAAUGCUUGAUUUUCUGUUUUGGCAAGAAACAUUGAACGUCAUGACCGAAAGUGACGCUUUAUGAGAUGUUAGCUAACGUCGGAGAAGUUAAUACCUAUGCUCGCUUUUCUUUCCAUCUCUACUAGAAAUCCCAAAGAUCUAACGAGUAACGACCUUCAAACGACCAAGUCUGGCAAGUCGAAGAGUUUACAAGAGCUUGGUUUGUAAUAAUAUGAUGUAAUAGUGCGUGUGUUGGCUUCAGGAACCUUUUACCUUGUUGCAGCCCAGUGGGGAAAGCUGUUAGGUUGCUCUCAAUGGUGAAUUUCUCAGGAAGCGGUUUAUUUACUUCUUAACUUUGUACACGUGUGUGGGUGUGUUUUAAUGUCCCAGGUGCAAAAAAAGCAUACCAUGGAAUUAAAGGCCAGAUAUCCCAAAUCCCAGGACUUUCCCCUGUUGUCAGUGCAGUUGGUCCAGAGAAGAGCAUAGGGAAAAGAGUAGGAGUCCUUGACAGCGAUUCUGAAUACAUUAAAUUGGCAAAACAAGGAGGCCGCAAAGGUAUUUUACACAAGCUAUGUUCAUUCUAUUACUAAAAUGACUGGAUAUUAUUAAAUUGAUCGAUUGUGGCGCUAUUAAAAUUACUGGCUAUUAAUUCAGUGACUACAAAACACGAUUACUUUUAUUGCUGAUAUUACUAUAUCAAUAGACUAUAUUUACUGUUACUGGAUAUUACCAUAACUAUAACUAUUAUUUAUAUUCUAUUAUAAUAUCUGCUAUAGAUAUUAUAGCGUUAAGACUGUGCUUACAAGAUAUUACGAUAUUCUUUUAUGGUAUUUUUAAUGUAGGGUCGCAGGGUGGCCCCGUGGUUAGCAUGUUGUCCACACAGAAAGGAGAUUUGGAAGAUCUGGUUUGUAUCUGCGUUUGGACAUCUCUGUGGAGUUUGCAUGUUCUACCUGUGCGGGCGUAGGUUUACUCCGACUACUCUGGUUUCCUCCCACACUCCAAAAACAUGCAUGUUAGGUUAAUUGGAGACUCUAAAAUGUUCAUUGGCUUGCAAUCAGGCCAGGGUGUAUCCCGCCUCUCGCCAAGGUCAGCUGGGAUAGGCUCCAGCACACCAUGUAGACAAGCAGUAUAGAAAAGGAAUGAAUAUGAAUUAUUAUAUCCACUAACAACAGUAAAUUAAUAUAGCGUUUGCAGCAAUAAGAGUAAUAGUAUAUAAUCAGAGUAACAUUCUAUUAUUACUCUAACUGAAAAUUACUGUUAGUAUGUUUUGUUCAUCCGCAGGACUUCUGUACUUUGAUGACACAACUAAGAACAAGUCAUUAUCUGCAGACAUGCUGCUGGACACUCCAGUAGAAGCUCAUGGCAACCUCAGUGUCAUUUGCACCAAAGAAAGGAAAAGCCAGGAAUCUUCUUCACAAAGGCC